GAUGAACGCUGGCGGCGUGCCUAAUACAUGCAAGUCGAGCGAAGCGGGGACGGGUGAGUAACAGUUGGUUACCCUCCUAUAAAAUUGGGUUACCUUCGGAAAACCGGAGCUAAACCGGUUACUUAUGGAUGGAUCCGGGCUGCAUUAGCUAUUUGUUAAGGUAACGGCUUACCAAGGCAACGAUGCAUAGCCGACCGGAGAGGGUGAUCGGCCACACUGGAACGGAGACACGGUCCAGACUCCUACGGGAGGCAGCAGUAGGGAAUCUUCCGCAAUGGGCGAAAGCCUGACGGAGCAACGCCGCGUGAGUGAUGAAGGUCUUCGGAUCGUAAAACUCUGUUAUUAGGGAAGCGGUACCUAAUCAGAAAGCCACGGCUAACUACGUGCCAGCAGCCGCGGUAAUUC
rnacentral:rRNA from 1 species